GGUUAAGCGACUAAGUGUACACGGUGGAUGCCCUGGCAGUCAGAGGCGAUGAAGGACGUGCUAAUCUGCGAUAAGCGUCGGUAAGGUGAUAUGAACCGUUAUAACCGGCGAUUUCCGAAUGGGGAAACCCAGUGUGUUUCGACACACUAUCAUUAACUGAAUCCAUAGGUUAAUGAGGCGAACCGGGGGAACUGAAACAUCUAAGUACCCCGAGGAAAAGAAAUCAACCGAGAUUCCCCCAGUAGCGGCGAGCGAACGGGGAGGAGCCCAGAGCCUGAAUCAGUGUGUGUGUUAGUGGAAGCGUCUGGAAAGGCGCGCGAUACAGGGUGACAGCCCCGUACACAAAAAUACACAUAUUGUGAGCUCGAUGAGUAGGGCGGGACACGUGGUAUCCUGUCUGAAUAUGGGGGGACCAUCCUCCAAGGCUAAAUACUCCUGACUGACCGAUAGUGAACCAGUACCGUGAGGGAAAGGCGAAAAGAACCCCGGCGAGGGGAGUGAAAAAGAACCUGAAACCGUGUACGUACAAGCAGUGGGAGCACGCUUAGGCGUGUGACUGCGUACCUUUUGUAUAAUGGGUCAGCGACUUAUAUUCUGUAGCAAGGUUAACCGAAUAGGGGAGCCGAAGGGAAACCGAGUCUUAACUGGGCGUUAAGUUGCAGGGUAUAGACCCGAAACCCGGUGAUCUAGCCAUGGGCAGGUUGAAGGUUGGGUAACACUAACUGGAGGACCGAACCGACUAAUGUUGAAAAAUUAGCGGAUGACUUGUGGCUGGGGGUGAAAGGCCAAUCAAACCGGGAGAUAGCUGGUUCUCCCCGAAAGCUAUUUAGGUAGCGCCUCGUGAAUUCAUCUCCGGGGGUAGAGCACUGUUUCGGCAAGGGGGUCAUCCCGACUUACCAACCCGAUGC
rnacentral:rRNA from 1 species